GCAGUCUCAAGUGGAUUGACAAGAAAAUGAAGAUCAUUUUUUAUUUGCUGCUGAUUCUCAGAGUGGGGCGAUGCACAGAUGAUCAGAUCCUUGAAACAAAGACUGUUGGUGUUGGACAAAACGUGACUCUGACUUGUGCUCGCGACACAUCUCUCAUCCGAGAAACCUGGUUUUGGAUCAGAAUUGUUUCUGGAAACUCACCUGAAUUCUUGGGAGGAACAUUUCAUUUUGAUUAUGAUGAUAGUGAUGAGCCUCUUCGCAUUAAAACAAAACAAGAACCUGGAACAUUCCUGCUGCAUAUUCAUGAAGCAAAGCUAAGCGAUGCCGGACUUUACUCCUGUAUUAAAGUAAACCAACUUAAUUUAACAUUUUUAAAAGGAACAUUUCUGAGUAUUGGAGAACCUGAUAUCACUUUCAUCACUCAAGACUUCCCAUCUGCUCCGGUCCGUCCAGGAGACUCAGUGACUCUGCAGUGUUCCGCCCUCU